UUUGUUAGCAUAGCUUUUAACUUGUUAGCGGUAUGUUAGCAGGUGUUGCGUCAAAGCAAUGGUUGUGUGUGUGCUUGUGAAAGCUUGUAGUAAUACUUAGUUAGAGAUAACGUUAAGUUGAAGGAAAGUAACUAUAAACACUACUGAAGAUAUCUAAGUAGAGCACCUUAAGUUGUCAACACUGCCUCAAACAAGAGGACCAAGAGGCUCUCCUUGGACUUUGGGAGGAGUUGGCAUCAACUGCCAUUCGUCACCUGCUUUCCCAGCUUUUCAUAGCUUGAGCUGCUUACAUCUCCUCAGGGUAACUUUCCACUAUCUUGCACGAGUCACCCCUGGGGAGGCUGCAGGGCCUGGGUCAGCCAUAUGGUGGCAGAAGCCCCUGGAGGAGCCAGCCCGAUAAGCUGGAUCAGCUUCAGCACUUCCUGACCGAGGCUUGGGCCGCACCACCGAGCAGGCUUUGAACAAAGAGCGUGAAAACCUCCUGUGUGCAAGAGAGUAGCG